rnacentral:sRNA from 1 species
UAGAAAAUUUUUCAUCCACCUCCGUCAAAUAUUUGAUAAGAACACUAAUAUUUAUAUUAAAGUUCAUCGUGGACCACUCUAUCGUUGGAUGCAGAUUCCUUAGUCCUGAAUAAUCCAUGCAAAAUAUUAAUUCGUUAGUAAUUUUAACUCUCUUACUUUUUCAACAUUUAUUUAUAUUAUUUACUCAAAUUACUUUUCACAUAAUUAAAACCACUCUCUUGCAAAAUGAGUUUAGUGGAGUUCCUAUCGUAUAGAAAAACUUUUUUUUUUCCUUUUUACUAUUAAAAUGGGUAUAAUAUAAAUGCAUAAGCACAUAUAAGAUCCAAUGUACAUGGAUGUGUGAUUUUUUUUAUAUUGAAUUUUAAAAAAUAAUACAAUUUAAAUAAAAGUAUUAACGUCAAAGUAAACUUUGAAAGAGUAUUUAUUUAAUUAGGGUGAACCGAAGUCACUCCAUAGCAUUAGUCCCGUUCUGUGUUCAAUCAAUAUAUAUAUAUUAAAGUUUUAUUGAUAUAACUAAUAAAGUAAUAGAAACAUAAUUAAUUUUAUAAUUAAUUCUAAUAAAAUAAACAUAACAAAUUUUUAAUUCAAAUUGAUAUAUAAUUUAUAUUUAAGUUAUGAGGCACUCACCUUUGCACUUCAGGAUUGGAAUUGAUGGACACAUCGCUCUCCAUUUGAAUUGUUGGUGGAAAUGGAGGACUGUUUACUUCAAUAUUGGAAUCGUUUGGUACAUUCUUCUGACUUUGACUUGGUGAUAGCAAUAAAGAAGUGUGAAGUUCACUUUGAGUCCUAUAAGAAAAAAAGGUCAAUAAUUUUUUUUAUAGACAAAUGAUUUAUCAUUAGUAUUUUAGUUAUUAACAAAAUACUUUUUUGCAUUUCAAGAUAAAACUUGUUUAACACAUUGUUUUGAGUUUCGUGGUAA